rnacentral:rRNA from 1 species
UUAAGCGACUAAGCGUACACGGUGGAUGCCCUGGCAGUCAGAGGCGAUGAAGGACGUGCUAAUCUGCGAAAAGCGUCGGUAAGGUGAUAUGAACCGUUAUAGCCGGCGAUGUCCGAAUGGGGAAACCCAGUGCAAUUCGUUGCACUAUCGUUAACUGAAUACAUAGGUUAACGAGGCGAACCGGGGGAACUGAAACAUCUAAGUACCCCGAGGAAAAGAAAUCAACCGAGAUUCCCCCAGUAGCGGCGAGCGAACGGGGAGCAGCCCAGAGUCUGAAUCAGCUUGUGUGUUAGUGGAACGGUCUGGAAAGUCCGACGGUACAGGGUGAUAGUCCCGUACACCAAAAUGCACAGGUUGUGAACUCGAAGAGUAGGGCGGGACACGUGGUAUCCUGUCUGAAUAUGGGGGGACCAUCCUCCAAGGCUAAAUACUCCUGACUGACCGAUAGUGAACCAGUACCGUGAGGGAAAGGCGAAAAGAACCCCGGCGAGGGGAGUGAAAAAGAACCUGAAACCGUGUACGUACAAGCAGUGGGAGCACCUUCGGGUGUGACUGCGUACCUUUUGUAUAAUGGGUCAGCGACUUAUAUUCUGUAGCAAGGUUAACCGUAUAGGGGAGCCGCAGGGAAACCGAGUCUUAACUGGGCGUUAAGUUGCAGGGUAUAGACCCGAAACCCGGUGAUCUAGCCAUGGGCAGGUUGAAGGUUGGGUAACACUAACUGGAGGACCGAACCGACUAAUGUUGAAAAAUUAGCGGAUGACUUGUGGCUGGGGGUGAAAGGCCAAUCAAACCGGGAGAUAGCUGGUUCUCCCCGAAAGCUAUUUAGGUAGCGCCUCGUGAAUUCAUCUUCGGGGGUAGAGCACUGUUUCGGCUAGGGGGUCAUCCCGACUUACCAACCCGAUGCAAACUACGAAUACCGAAGAAUGUUAUCACGGGAGACACACGGCGGGUGCUAACGUCCGUCGUGAAGAGGGAAACAACCCAGACCGCCAGCUAAGGUCCCAAAGUCAUGGUUAAGUGGGAAACGAUGUGGGAAGGCACAGACAGCCAGGAUGUUGGCUUAGAAGCAGCCAUCAUUUAAAGAAAGCGUAAUAGCUCACUGGUCGAGUCGGCCUGCGCGGAAGAUGUAACGGGGCUAAACCAUGCACCGAAGCUGCGGCAGCGACACGAUGUGUUGUUGGGUAGGGGAGCGUUCUGUAAGCCUGCGAAGGUGUGCUGUGAGGCAUGCUGGAGGUAUCAGAAGUGCGAAUGCUGACAUAAGUAACGAUAAAGCGGGUGAAAAGCCCGCUCGCCGGAAGACCAAGGGUUCCUGUCCAACGUUAAUCGGGGCAGGGUGAGUCGACCCCUAAGGCGAGGCCGAAAGGCGUAGUCGAUGGGAAACAGGUUAAUAUUCCUGUACUUGGUGUUACUGCGAAGGGGGGACGGAGAAGGCUAUGUUAGCCGGGCGACGGUUGUCCCGGUUUAAGCAUGUAGGCUGGUUAUCCAGGCAAAUCCGGAUAAUCAAGGCUGAGGUGUGAUGACGAGGCACUACGGUGCUGAAGUAACAAAUGCCCUGCUUCCAGGAAAAGCCUCUAAGCAUCAGGUAACAUCAAAUCGUACCCCAAACCGACACAGGUGGUCAGGUAGAGAAUACCAAGGCGCUUGAGAGAACUCGGGUGAAGGAACUAGGCAAAAUGGUGCCGUAACUUCGGGAGAAGGCACGCUGGUGUGUAGGUGAAGUCCCUGCGGAUGGAGCUGAGACCAGUCGAAGAUACCAGCUGGCUGCAACUGUUUAUUAAAAACACAGCACUGUGCAAACACGAAAGUGGACGUAUACGGUGUGACGCCUGCCCGGUGCCGGAAGGUUAAUUGAUGGGGUUAUCCGUAAGGAGAAGCUCUUGAUCGAAGCCCCGGUAAACGGCGGCCGUAACUAUAACGGUCCUAAGGUAGCGAAAUUCCUUGUCGGGUAAGUUCCGACCUGCACGAAUGGCGUAAUGAUGGCCAGGCUGUCUCCACCCGAGACUCAGUGAAAUUGAACUCGCUGUGAAGAUGCAGUGUACCCGCGGCAAGACGGAAAGACCCCGUGAACCUUUACUAUAGCUUGACACUGAACAUUGAGCCUUGAUGUGUAGGAUAGGUGGGAGGCUUUGAAGCGUGGACGCCAGUCUGCGUGGAGCCAACCUUGAAAUACCACCCUUUAAUGUUUGAUGUUCUAACGUUGGCCCCUGACCGGGGUUGCGGACAGUGUCUGGUGGGUAGUUUGACUGGGGCGGUCUCCUCCCAAAGCGUAACGGAGGAGCACGAAGGUUAGCUAAUCCUGGUCGGACAUCAGGAGGUUAGUGCAAUGGCAUAAGCUAGCUUGACUGCGAGCGUGACGGCGCGAGCAGGUGCGAAAGCAGGUCAUAGUGAUCCGGUGGUUCUGAAUGGAAGGGCCAUCGCUCAACGGAUAAAAGGUACUCCGGGGAUAACAGGCUGAUACCGCCCAAGAGUUCAUAUCGACGGCGGUGUUUGGCACCUCGAUGUCGGCUCAUCACAUCCUGGGGCUGAAGUAGGUCCCAAGGGUAUGGCUGUUCGCCAUUUAAAGUGGUACGCGAGCUGGGUUUAGAACGUCGUGAGACAGUUCGGUCCCUAUCUGCCGUGGGCGCUGGAGAAUUGAGGGGGGCUGCUCCUAGUACGAGAGGACCGGAGUGGACGCAUCACUGGUGUUCGGGUUGUCAUGCCAAUGGCACUGCCCGGUAGCUAAAUGCGGAAGAGAUAAGUGCUGAAAGCAUCUAAGCACGAAACUUGCCCCGAGAUGAGUUCUCCCUGAGACUUUAAGUCUCCUGAAGGAACGUUGAAGACGACGACGUUGAUAGGCCGGGUGUGUAAGCGCAGCGAUGCGUUGAGCUAACCGGUACUAAUGAACCGUGAGGCUUAACCUU